AUCGGUACAUACGAGUGUAAGGGGAUCUAGAUCACCUUUCUAUAGAAAAGAACUUGAAGUGGUAGACGAUUUUGGACUAAAUGUUAAGAUUGCAGAGGUUUUUUAAAGUUUCUUAAACUUUAACUUUACGUGCGAAGUACUCCUUUUCUAUAAAAAUUAGGAAGAACAACAAUCAUUAUGACAUUCGAAGAGUUUAAACAGCCCAUUGGAAAAUGCAUGGUGAUUAGAAUAGUUAAUUUUGAUCUAGUUUUAUUUAGAAUUCUUUUAAAUAAGUAUAUAGUUAAUUUGAAUAAAUAGAAUUAUGUGACUGUCUUCUCUCGGUGCUGCCUAUGGCGGUAUCGUUGGAGAUCCUUCGGGAUCUUUCUAAAAACUCUCCUCUCUGUUACCUCAAUUAUGGGCGCGGCGGGGGUUUGUUUUUCUCCCCCAAAGUGCCCCCGGGUUGUGGUAGCAACCUCUUUUGUCUUCCUUUUUAAUUUAUGAUCUGUCUAAUCAAUAUAUGCAAAUGAAUCUUAUUAUAAAUAUGAGAGCCCAACAUAUAACAUUUAAGAAAGCCAUCAAAACAAUUGAAGUUUAAAAGUAAUGAUGACUUUCUUUAAGGUUAUAUGUUGGGCUCUCAUAUUUAUAAUAAGAAUCCGUUUUCCGCCUGGCAAAUCUCUAGCUACGAUAUAUGCAAAUGAAGUUUACGUAAUCGUAUCUAUGAUGUAAUAAUUUAUGCUGAACCUAACACAUGCGCAGUUCACGACGAGCUUCUCUCUCGAUCUAUUCAAUAUGGUGGUCAAUCAAGAAAUGUUUUUGCUUGCAAAAAGAUCGUAAAUUGUUGGCGCUACAAGCUCGGAAAGAUUGUAAAUGAGAUCAGGCUUUUAUCAGCUCACAGAAUAACAAGAAGGAAGCAUCCAAACAAAUUCAUUUGUAACAUGGUGGAUAACAAAGUCCCUCUUUGAAAACGUACUUCAGUCAUUUUACGAUUGUAAAUGAGAUCAGGCUUUUAUCAGCUCACAGAAUAAAAAGAAGGAAGCAUCCAAACAAAUUCAUUUGUAACAUGGUGGAUAACAAAGUCCCUCCUUGAAAACCUACUUCAGUCAUUUUACGAUUAAAAGUCCAGCGAGAAAUGAAGUGAAAGGCGAUUUGAAAACCACGAGAUUGUUUUUGCCAAUGUUUUGAUCUGAGGGUUUAAAGAACCACUUUUACAAUAUUGGAGAUAUGUAGUGGAAUAAAUGCCUGGAAAGACAAUUAUUGUCUGACAAUAUAAACUAUAAAUUGAAACCGGAAUGCAAUGAUAAGAAAGGGAAAUAUGGAAUAAAUGCCUGGAAAUACAAUAUAAACUAUAAUUUUAAACUGGAAUGCAAUGAUAAGAAAGGGAAAUAAACUAUUGCUAAGUCUAAAGAACCACUGAAGCUGAAGAAUUGAGAUACAACAAUCUUUGACUGACUUUAGAUUGGUGGCGAUCGAAGGUGGACAGCAAGAUCGAAGCUCAGCAAGAUUGAAGAUUGUUCGAAGAAGGAGUUCGCCGUUGACUAAAAGGUUUAUCUGAACAGCUAGUUGUCAAGAUGAAUGCGAAGACUCGCCCGGCCAAAUUCAAAAUGGCGAUGCCAAAGAAAACCAUCCACCUGGACCGUUCGCAGACCUUUCUGGGCAAGAUUGUUGUGCUGUCUGGUCAAAGUUAAGUAUUUUACUUUGAUGUUUGUGUGCCUUCGGCUAAUUGUUGGCCAGAAAUGACAAAAAGCCAUAUACAAUAUGAAAUAUUCUGCGUACAAGGUUAUCUAAAAUUUCGAACUUAAUUCUGCCUGCAAUGAUGAUAAUUUUUUACUGAAAAUUUAUGUCAUGAGCAACUUCCGCACCUAUAGACUGAAGCAGAACUGAACAUUUUGUCAUUAACGUUUAUCUCAACAGCCAGUUAUCAAGACGAACGUCAAGAGAACAGUUGAAAUAG
rnacentral:lncRNA from 1 species